rnacentral:rRNA from 1 species
UACACUCCUACGGGAGGCAGCAGUGGGGAAUUUUGGACAAUGGGCGAAAGCCUGAUCCAGCAAUGCCGCGUGAGUGAAGAAGGCCUUCGGGUUGUAAAGCUCUUUUGUCAGGGAAGAAACGGUGAAAGCUAAUAUCUUUUGCUAAUGACGGUACCUGAAGAAUAAGCACCGGCUAACUACGUGCCAGCAGCCGCGGUAAUACGUAGGGUGCAAGCGUUAAUCGGAAUUACUGGGCGUAAAGCGUGCGCAGGCGGUUUUGUAAGUCUGAUGUGAAAUCCCCGGGCUCAACCUGGGAAUUGCAUUGGAGACUGCAAGGCUAGAAUCUAGCAGAGGGGGGUAGAAUUCCACGUGUAGCAGUGAAAUGCGUAGAUAUGUGGAGGAACACCGAUGGCGAAGGCAGCCCCCUGGGUCAAGAUUGACGCUCAUGCACGAAAGCGUGGGGAGCAAACAGGAUUAGAAACCCUUGUAGUCCCAUG